CGUCAAGGCAACACUCCAAACAGGUUACAUCAUGCAGCCCAAGAAAACCCAGCCAAGGGCAAGAUUUCAGAAAAAUUCAGUCAGCGUCUCGUCCAUUUGAAAGACUGCACUGUAGUAAUCAGAGGAAGAUAUUAAAAUGUUAAAGAGCCGAAGGAAUUCAGUGGGACUGGGAUCCUUUCAUCAUCAGAAGACCUGCUUUUGGCAGUAGAGUUAAAGCUGGCACAGCAGACUCCAUAGCUAUAGCAGCAUGACUAGUUGAUGGAGUGGUUAAUGAGCACAUGCUUCUUUUAAUGUUUCUUAUUUUGGAUAGUUCUACACACUUUGCAUUUUAAUUGAUCUCCAUCACGGUUUAUGGGUAUUAGGACUUCUACUGUCACCUUUCUUUUGGCUGGUUUAAAAGAUUUGCUUCUGGGGCCUGGAUGUGACCAUUCUUUCUCAGUGUUGUGUUUUGGUUUUGUUUUUCCCCAUGGAAAGAAGACUCUUGGAACUGUUGGCUUUUGGCUGUGAGCUCAGUGGUCAGGGAAAAAAUGGAAAGAAAAACAUGGAAGCAGGAAGGAGAGAAUAGGAAGCCUUUUUCAAUCAUUUGGAUCCAGUAGAUGUCCCGAAAGACAGAGCUGGAGGGCUUAAGAUGGCUUGAUUGAUAGAAAGAGCAGAAUUGCUCAUUGGAAAAAGUAUCUCUCCCUUAAUCGCCCAUAGCCCACAUUUUUGCUGUCUUGUCUCUGUGUUAUCAACUUCCCCUCCCUUUUUUGUUGACUAUUAACAAUUAGUGUGUACCUUUCUGCUUUCCCAAUAAAAAAAGGAUUUGAAAAGUCAUUAGGAGUUUUCCAACAGGACAUAAACAAAGAAACAAGCAGGUUUUUUUUUUUCUUUAAAUAAAGCUGGUUUACUGGA